CUGCCCUCAAGCACGGCUUGUGUGUUGGGUCGCCGUCCCCUCCGGGGGACGGGCCCGAAAGGCAGCGGCGGCACCGGGUCCGGUCCUCGAGCGUAUGGGGCUUCGUCACCCGCUCUGUAGGGCCGGCCGGCUGUCUGCCGACAACCUAUUAUUUUCUUCA
rnacentral:misc_RNA from 1 species